UUAAAAAAAACAAAAAAAACUUUCAAAAGCUCUCUCCCCUUCCAGCUCGUCCGGCUAGUGGUCCGGUCGUCGGCCACCGCGCUGGCCGUAUGCGGUGGCCGAAAAAAGGGAAAACUUCCUAUUCGGCUCUUUCGGCCUCCCUUAAACCGAAUCCGGGCCCAAAUCCUCCGAAAAUUUACGAAAAAUACCCUAAAAGCCCUCGGAACCUUUCAACUUCCGAUCGUCUAUCCUUGGAGACGAACCUCGGCCGUUCCAACGGCGAUUCAGAAGCAAACCAAAGUAAGUUCUUUCUCCGUUUUAUUAUGUUUUAGUAAAGUAAAAAUAAUAAUAAAAAUAAAAGAAAACAAAGAAAUAAUCGAUGCAAAAAUAAAAUAUCAACCUUUUUGAGUUUUGGUUGAUUCUGUGUUUGUAAAAUAUCGUGCCUUUUUUAUUGAUUUCAAAUUUUUUUCAGAUCCCCGUUACAAUAUGUUUAAUGGCUUUUUAUAGCCAUUCUCAAGAUAUAUAAAGAAACUAAUCUACUUAUAUUGAUUUGAUUUGCGAAUCUUCGAUCUUGUUUUCCAUAUAUUGUUUAUUUCCUUUUUGUGCACAGAUGAAGAUUCGGGGGCUAAGAUUCGGAGGGCGAGGCUAGGUGGCUGCGGCGUAAGACUCGUCACAGAAACCCUAGGGUUUCUGAUAUUAUGUUGGGCCAUUGUUUAGGGCCUCUGCCUAUUUCGGGUUUUGGGCUACAUAGGCCCGUUGUAAUUUGGGCCCUUUUAAGGCCUGGCAAAAUCUGUUAUUACAAUAAUCACUUC
rnacentral:lncRNA from 1 species